rnacentral:rRNA from 1 species
CCGAAGGUUCCGGGGUAGCAUUAAACCUGCAAGUCGAACGCUGAUCCACUUUCGGGUGGGGAUGAGUGGCGAACGGGUGAGUAAUACGUGGGUAAUCUGCCCUGCACUCUGGGAUAAGCCUUGGAAACGGGGUCUAAUACCGGAUAUCACAAUCUCUCGCAUGGGGGGUUGUUGAAAGUUCCGGCGGUGCAGGAUGAACCCGCGGCCUAUCAGCUUGUUGGUGGGGUAAUGGCCUACCAAGGCGACGACGGGUAGCCGGCCUGAGAGGGUGACCGGCCACACUGGGACUGAGACACGGCCCAGACUCCUACGGGAGGCAGCAGUGGGGAAUAUUGCACAAUGGGCGAAAGCCUGAUGCAGCGACGCCGCGUGAGGGAUGACGGCCUUCGGGUUGUAAACCUCUUUCGCCAGGGACGAAGCGCAAGUGACGGUACCUGGAUAAGAAGCACCGGCUAACUACGUGCCAGCAGCCGCGGUAAUACGUAGGGUGCGAGCGUUGUCCGGAUUUAUUGGGCGUAAAGAGCUCGUAGGCGGUUUGUCGCGUCGGCCGUGAAAUCUCCACGCUUAACGUGGAGCGUGCGGUCGAUACGGGCAGACUUGAGUUCGGUAGGGGAGACUGGAAUUCCUGGUGUAGCGGUGAAAUGCGCAGAUAUCAGGAGGAACACCGGUGGCGAAGGCGGGUCUCUGGGCCGAUACUGACGCUGAGGAGCGAAAGCGUGGGGAGCGAACAGGAUUAGAUACCCUGGUAGUCCACGCUGUAAACGUUGGGCGCUAGGUGUGGGCGACAUUCCACGUUGUCCGUGCCGUAGCUAACGCAUUAAGCGCCCCGCCUGGGGAGUACGGCCGCAGGCUAAAACUCAAGGGAAUUGACGGGGGCCCGCACAAGCGGCGGAGCAUGUGAUUAUUCGAUGCAACGCGAAAAACCCUUACCUGGGCUUGACAUGCGCCAGACAUCCCCAGAUAUGGGGCUUCCCUUGGGGUAG